rnacentral:rRNA from 1 species
UACGUAGGGGGCAAGCGUUGUCCGGAUUUAUUGGGCGUAAAGAGCGUGUAGGCGGCCAUUCAGGUCAGCUGUGAAAACUCGAGGCUCAACCUCGAGACGUCGGUUGAAACCGUCUGGCUAGAGUCCGGAAGAGGAGAGUGGAAUUCCCGGUGUAGCGGUGAAAUGCGCAGAUAUCGGGAAGAACACCAGUGGCGAAGGCGGCUCUCUGGGACGGUACUGACGCUGAGACGCGAAAGCGUGGGGAGCGAACAGG